CACAGCGAAAGCUGUACUAAUACCGCAUGAGACCACGGGGAGACAUCUUUCUGAGGUCAAAGGAGCAAUCCGGUAAGGGGUGGGCUCGCGUCCGAUUAGAUAGUUGGUGAGGUAACGGCCCACCAAGUCGACGAUCGGUAGCCGACCUGAGAGGGUGAUCGGCCACAUUGGGACUGAGACACGGCCCAAACUCCUACGGGAGGCAGCAGUGGGGAAUAUUGGGCAAUGGGGGGAACCCUGACCCAGCAACGCCGCGUGAGGGAAGAAGGUUUUCGGAUCGUAAACCUCUGUCCUUGGUGAAGAGUAAGAGACGGUAGCCAAGGAGGAAGCCCCGGCUAACUACGUGCCAGCAGCCGCGGUAAUACGUAGGGGGCGAGCGUUGUCCGGAAUGAUUGGGCGUAAAGGGCGCGUAGGCGGCCCGGUAAGUCUGGAGUGAAAGUCCUGCUUUUAAGGUGGGAAUUGCUUUGGAUACUGUCGGGCUUGAGUGCAGGAGAGGUAAGUGGAAUUCCCAGUGUAGCGGUGAAAUGCGUAGAGAUUGGGAGGAACACCAGUGGCGAAGGCGACUUACUGGACUGUAACUGACGCUGAGGCGCGAAAGUGUGGGGAGCAAACAGGAUUAGAUACCCUGGUAGUCCACACUGUAAACGAUGAAUGCUAGGUGUAGGGGGUAUCGACCCCUUCUGUGCCGCAGUAAACACAAUAAGCAUUCCGCCUGGGGAGUACGGCCGCAAGGUUGAAACUCAAAGGAAUUGACGGAGGCCCGCACAAGCAGCGGAGCAUGUGGUUUAAUUCGACGCAACGCGAAGAACCUUACCAGGUCUUGACAUCCAGUUAAAGCCGUAGAGAUACGGUGUGUGCUUGCACAAACUGAGACAGGUGGUGCAUGGUUGUCGUCAGCUCGUGUCGUGAGAUGUUGGGUUAAGUCCCGCAACGAGCGCAACCCUUACUUUCAGUUACUAACACGUAGAGGUGAGGACUCUGAAGGGACUGCCGGGGACAACUCGGAGGAAGGUGGGGACGACGUCAAAUCAUCAUGCCCCUUAUGACCUGGGCUACACACGUGCUACAAUGGCCACCACAGAGAGGAGCGAACCUGCAAGGGGGAGCG
rnacentral:rRNA from 1 species